AUUACUCAGGUACAAAAAGAGACUUUUAUUCCAAUAUAAAGAACGUGCUUUUUAUAUCUGCUCUCGAAAAAAUGGAAAAAAUGUUCAACAAAUUGGUUUUAUUGAUAUUUAUAACAGCGAAUGCGUAUCCUAAUUGUCCUACAAGCUAUUACCAACUGACCUCGAAUCAACAAGUAACAGUUAAUAGUCCCGAUUAUCCACCAUACGGAGUUAGAAAUCCAAGUAGUUGCCAAUUUACAGUAGCAGCACCAAUUUUUCAUUAUUUGAGCGUUUUAUGCUCCAAGGGUUUCGGGAAUGCAUCAAGUCCCUGUGACCCAAAUGACAGUUUGGCUUUGUUAGAUGGUGCAACAAAUUUUGAUAAUGGCAAUCCAUCGAUACGUAGAUAUUGUGGCAACGCAAAUAUUGCACUUGACACAACAUUUAAUAGCGUAACUAUUGCAUAUUCUGCAAACCGAUUUUCUGGAUAUUACCAAUGUGAUUUCAGGGCGAUACCAAAAGGUGGAUGCGAUUGUGGACAAAGAACAAUUUCCAGAAUUGUUGGCGGUGAGCGUGCAAAAUUGAAUCAAUAUCCCUAUAUGGUUGCCAUAAUGAAAUAUGGUCAAAGUUCACCACUGGGAGGUGGUGGAACAUUGAUCUCUACAAGUGUUAUAAUAACGGCAGCUCAUGUUUGCUAUCAAAAAGAUCCAAAUUCAAUAUACGUUUCAGUUGGUCGUGAUGACUUAAGAAAAGAUGUCAAAUAUGAUACAUUAUAUUCUCAAAACUAUGAUGUCAGCCAAAUUAUUACACAUCCGUAUUAUAAUGAUCAAACGGAUGCUAAUGAUCUUGCAAUCAUAUUGACGAAAAGAUUCAUCUCUUUCAAUAGAGGAGUUUCGGUGGCCUGUUUGCCUGGUCCUAAUAAGUCUGUAUAUGCGUACGAUGGACAAAGGCUCAUUGGAAUUGGUUUCGGAUCGUACGACUUCAGUUCGGAUUAUACUUAUUAUCCAAAAGCAGCUUAUGUUGAUGCAUAUCCAAAUGAUCAAUGUGCAAAGUUUUAUGCAAAUCAGGCAACAAUAACAUCUGCUGAUCUAUGUACUAUAAACAAUGCAAACGAUACGUGUCAGGGAGACAGUGGCGGACCUAUGAUAUUGCCAAGCUAUCGUGACUUCGUUGUGGCUGUCAUUAAAUCAGGUAAUGCUUGCGGAACGCAAUCACCCUCUUUGAAUCAGCGCAUAGAUAGAUCGUGGAUAACGUCACGCACUCCAUCAACCAGUUAUUAUUGUUAUUAUGAAAACUAAAUUAACUUUGGAGCCGUCUGUGGGGCACUCAGUGUCCGGGGCAAAUUUCAAAGAAAAAUUAAACACAUUUUUCCACCACACAUCACUAAAAUCCGAUUUUUUUAUGUAUUCAUGCCAAAUUUUCUGCGCAAAGGGCCAAGACAAAAAAUAUACCAAUUUCAUCUUUAGGGCCACUCAUUUUAAUAUUAUUUAGUAUGAGAAACAAAUGAAGUUUUUCUGUAAAAGAUUGUGUAUCGCUUGUUCUUAUAUAAACACUUGUUGCGUUGUUCGGUGUUUCCGUAUUGUGAAAUUCCAUUUCGAGAAAAUUUGUUCAACGAAUAUUUUUAAAUUUUGUCAGCACCGUAAUCAAAAAGUAGGUAGUUCGCAGAAAUAUCGGAGAAAUGCCAUCUUUUUGGACAAAUUCAACCAAAUCGUUUCGACCAAAGACGGUGCAAAGGUUAGAUUAAGGAAAAUAGUCAUUUAAAAUUAAAUCAAAUCACAAUUGUUUGGAUAACAGCAGACGAAAUCAAAAUGUUGUGCAUUCAGAAAAUGCGCAACAGAGGGCGCCACGACUAUAAUGUAAGUGUGUCAAAUUGCCGCAACACUUGGCAUUCAGAGCGAAUGUUUAUAGAGCCAUAGACAUUUAUUGUAAACUACGCUUGAUUAUUAAUAACAACAAUUUUCAAUUUA